UGCUUUUUCAUUCCCUCGGUUUCCUGUUCCGGAGGCGCUGGCGGCGCCGCGGUCUCGGCGGCUGCAGCGUAAGCCUGGCUCUGCUCUGACGGCGACCUCACGGCCCGGGAGCCUUUUUGCAGGAUGCUUUGCCAGGGGCUGUGAAGGAUCCAGAAAUGACUAUGAAUCAACCCAUGUCCUCAAGGAGCUAAUAAUCUAGUGGAGAAGUUAGACAUGUGCACACAUGACUAUACUAUGAGGCAGUCUCUGAGCUCAUAGUCUCUGUGGGAGAUGUGACUCUGACCCAGACAGCACCUCAUGAUGCAAGGCAAUACAUGAGUCUAUGCUGAGUGGGAAAGAAGGUGAAGACAGGAAGAUGCUGGUACAGAUAUAGAAAACGUGGGGUGUGCUGACGGGAGGACAUGGUGAGGUCAGGUAUUGGGGGAACUUAAGAAA